rnacentral:rRNA from 1 species
UACAGAGGUCUCAAGCGUUGUUCGGAUUCAUUGGGCGUAAAGAGCUCGUAGGCGGCUUGUCACGUCGGCUGUGAAAACCUGGGGCUCAACCCCGGGCCUGCAGCCGAUACGGGCAAGCUAGAAUUCGGUAGGGGAGACUGGAAUUCCUGGUGUAGCGGUGAAAUGCGCGGAUAUCAGGAGGAACACCGGUGGCGAAGGCGGGUCUCUGGGCCGAUAUUGACGCUGAGGAGCGAAAGCCAGGGGAGCAAACGGG